rnacentral:rRNA from 1 species
AACAAGGUCUCCGUUGGUGAACCAGCGGAGGGAUCAUUACCGAGUGUAAAAACUCCCAAACCAUUGUGAACUUACCACUGUUGCUUCGGCGGCCUCGCCCCGGGCGCGUUCGCGCGGCCCGGACCCAGGCGUCCGCCGGAGGCUCCAAACUCUUGUCUUUUAGUGUAUUUCUGAGUGGCAUAAGCAAAUAAAUCAAAACUUUCAGCAACGGAUCUCUUGGUUCUGGCAUCGAUGAAGAACGCAGCAAAAUGCGAUAAGUAAUGUGAAUUGCAGAAUUCAGUGAAUCAUCGAAUCUUUGAACGCACAUUGCGCCCGCCAGUAUUCUGGCGGGCAUGCCUGUCUGAGCGUCAUUUCAACCCUCAGGACCCGUUCGCGGGACCUGGCGUUGGGGAUCAGCCUGCCCCUGGCGGCGGCUGGCCCUGAAAUCCAGUGGCGGUUCCCUCGCGAACUCCUCCGUGCAGUAAUUAAACCUCUCGCGGCAGGAUAGCGGUUGAACCACGCCGUUAAACCCCCCACUUCUCAAGGUUGACCUCAGAUCAGGUAGGAAUACCCGCUGAACUUAAGCAUAUCAAUAACAA